UCAAAGUAUCAAGCUUGGCUUGUCGUUGGGCCCUUUUGUCACAUGGUGACAGGUCCAAAAGAUAAUGAACCGGUGUCAUAGCGACUCUGUAUGCAACGAGCUUAUAACAGCACGCAUCUAGCAGUUAUAUGGCCCGGUUACCACCCUUUUAUUUCUCCAA
rnacentral:misc_RNA from 1 species